rnacentral:lncRNA from 1 species
GUCCAAUGUGAUACAUAUAAUAGAGCAUCUCAAAAUUUAAAAAACAUCUCAAAGUAUAGAACAACUAUUAAAUUCCAUUGCAUGUACAACAAAAGCAACUAAAAUUCCAACCAUCAAGCCAAGUUUCUCAACAAAACUUGCAAAGAAUAAUGCAAGACUUUCAGGAGUUCUAGCACUCUUAACUCCAGUCACAAAGCCAGGUUUGUCAACAUUCCAAUUCCAGCCAUGCUAGCAAUACUCCAACCAUAUCCAGCAACCCACCACCUUCCAACAGCACUUCCAGCCAUAUAUCCAGAAACAAUUCAACCCAAACCCAGCAAACCAUUCUAUGCAAAAUCAAUCAAAAUACCCAAAGUUAUCAAAUGCAUAACAUCUACAGUACAAUCCUUAAUAGCAACCAUUAUAAUUUGAUACUACAAAUUCAUUUCAACAAUUUGUAACAGCUAACCAUUUUGUUACAAAUUUCAUACUCAAUACUAACCAUUUUGCUGACGCAAUGAGAAUGUCAGAAAAAUGGUUAGCCCACUCCAAACGAACCUCAUCUAAUUCAUCCUGAGUGUAUGAUUUAUUUCCAUUAAACUGUUAAUCGUAAGAAAUAAUAUUGUCAAACUUUAAAAAUAAUGUCACAUGUAGGAAAUAAAAGAAUGUUGACAUAUCUCAUCAUCAACUUACAUUGUUGGUUAACAAACUAACAUCCACUAUUAUUUCCUUCAUGUACCUUAACACAAAAUAACCACACUCUAAUUUUGCGAUAUUUUGUUUUGGAGCCUGUUCAUGAAAAAAAAAAGAUGAAAAUUUACAAAACCCAUCCAUUUUAGUUAAGGUACAUAAUCAAUAGGCUACAAAAAUACUUUUUUUCUUUUUUUUUACCUUCACAAUUCUCAUCUUGGUAUUAUAAUUCCAUUUUUCCUUACCAUCCUCUAAUGUGAAGAGUGUCAUGGCGCUGGAAACAAAACUAUACUGUUAUCUCUUAAUCAUAUUGAAGAAACUUAAACUAUCAAUUGCAGGAAAUAGACUAGUAUACAUACAUUUUAAGGAGCUGUUCUAAAUCAGUUUCAGGUCUGGAUUGCAUAGGAUCCACAUAAAAUACUUCCUUUUUUACCACAUCAAACACAACUAAUACCCAAUGGUAG